rnacentral:rRNA from 1 species
UACGGAAGGUGCAAGCGUUGUUCGGAAUGACUGGGCGUAAAGCGCACGUAGGCGGGUUUGUCAGUCGACUGUGAAAGCCCCAGGCUCAACCUGGGAAUGGCAUUUGGGACUGCAAGGCUUGAGUUUGGCAGAGGAGACUGGAAUUCCUGGUGUAGCGGUGAAAUGCGCAGAUAUCAGGAGGAACACCGGUGGCGAAGGCGGGUCUCUGGGCCGAUACUGACGCUGAGGAGCGAAAGCGUGGGGAGCGAACAGG